rnacentral:rRNA from 1 species
AACGAACGCUGGCGGCAUGCCUAACACAUGCAAGUCGAACGAGACCUUCGGGUCUAGUGGCGCACGGGUGCGUAACGCGUGGGAACCUGCCCUUAGGUUCGGAAUAACUCCCCGAAAGGGGUUCUAAUACCGGAUAAUGUCUUCGGACCAAAGAUUUAUCGCCUUUGGAUGGGCCCGCGUUGGAUUAGCUAGUUGGUAGGGUAAAAGCCUACCAAGGCGACGAUCCAUAGCUGGUCUGAGAGGAUGAUCAGCCACACUGGGACUGAGACACGGCCCAGACUCGUACGGGAGGCAGCAGUGGGGAAUAUUGGACAAUGGGCGAAAGCCUGAUCCAGCAAUGCCGCGUGAGUGAUGAAGGCCUUAGGGUUGUAAAGCUCUUUUACCCGGGAUGAUAAUGACAGUACCGGGAGAAUAAGCACCGGCUAACUCCGUG